rnacentral:lncRNA from 1 species
CUGGAGUCUCCUGCCUGGACAGGCGGUCCAUGCCGUCCCGCCAGCCCCACCCCUCAGCCCAGCACCUCCUUGCUGUCCAGGGUUCCGCUUGGCCCUCUCACUCCUGAGACCCCUCUUCCCCACGUCUGGGUCUGCAGAGGAGCAGCAGUUCUUACCUCGUGUGGGCUUGGGCAGGCCGAAGCGGGAGGAAGGACGCAUUUCCUGGCCCAAGGGUCUGGGCCCCUGGAGAGUCAGGCCACCUCAGACUCUGCCCUGGCGCUCCCUCUGCCUGGCUUCCUCUGUCCUUGGAGUCCGGCCACCGUUUGCAAGGUGACAGGUUGCCUUGACUGUGUUUUCAUUGUCUGUCUUCCCUCCACACAGUGAGGGUCAGUUCAGGCAGGGACCGAAACUCCCCUGCUCAGCACCGGGUCCUUUGUGUCUAGAAGAGUGUCUGCAGCCAACGGGUGUCAGGACUUCUUGUUAAAUGAGGGGGUACCUGUCAAUGCACCUCUUGCCUCCCGCUGGCGAGGAAUCUGUCCUCCCCUGUCCCCGCAGGUGCCACCCCCACUCUGAGCUGUCAGUCACCCCCCCACACCCCCGCUGCUCACCUGCACUGCCCUGAACCCACGCCCUACCCUGAUUUUUGGUCACUGCCGACUUUGGAAAUCCUGACACCAUGUUCCCCACUGCUGAGCCGUGUGGGCUUGCAAACCUGCCUUAAUCAGCCAAUGCCAUCAACCUGGUGACAAUGGAGAGUGGCGCCCCGAAGAGUUUGCUCAGGAGCAUCGUACCCCUGAGUGCACUGGGAAGCUUGGGUGUAUUCAGAGAGGCAAAGGACGGUGAGGGCUCUUAAAGGUGAAGCGAAGCUGGUUACAGAAGUCAUCGUGAAACAGUGACCCUGGCUGCAAGGAUCAACGACAGGGUGGUGUCGUUCUCAUGGGGGACACAGUGGCUGGGCAGACGUCCUUGUGGAAUUAUUUCCGUGUAAGUCCACAGUCACCUUUGCACCAGGCUGUGGCUCGCGAUGGCAAUAGUUAUCAGGUAUGCGUGCAUAGGAGUGCCCCCUUCCCUGGCUGUGCUUUGUUAGGGUGGACACAAAUGACUCCAUUUUGAUACUGACACUCAUGAUGCCACCAACAAUGCUCUGGGUCUCCAAUGGGUGGGGUCUGUCCUCUAAGCUUAAAAUCUGGAGAUGGGGGAAGGCAGACAAGCAAACAGACCAACAAGCAUUGGAGGGGCUGGGGUGGGCCUGGGCCCUGGGGUGCCCUGGGAGGCAAUAAUUCCAUGGCCUUCUAGAGCUGGAUCCUGGCUGGUGCUUGUAUGUCCUCGGCUCCAGGUGCCCAAACCCAAAUGUAGCCAGUCGAAGUCCAAGAGAAACAUCUGGCUCAAGUUGUCAAACUGGAGAAGAGCAAGUGGAGGCUGCAGAGUGGAGGCUGCAGAGUGGAGGCUCCCAACGGGCCAAACAACGAGGACUCAGUCCCUUCUGCAGCUGUGUGUGUACCGGCUUCUCUCUGUGCUUCAGGCUGUUUUCCUCUGCUGUGGUUUAUCAGGAAUUUGGGUCCAGGGGCUCUAAGCCUGGGAGGAAAGGCUCUUCUGUCUCAGGAGUCUUGCGAAUCCUGGGGGAGGAAGGGUCAGCCUGGCUGGUCAUGAGCUCCCCUGGACCCAUCAUUUUAACCUAGGGAUGAGGCAGUGGGCAGCAGAGAUCAGUCCCACACGCAGCUCUGUGAUGGGGAGAAGGAAGAAGGGGGCAGGAUGACCUGAAGCCGCCUCUCCAGUCACCUCCUGGGAUCUGGUCUGCGGUCGGACCUCACCUCCCACUGGGGGCCACCUACAUGGCCCCCGCCUGCUUGGGAGUCCCUGCUGCGGAAUCCCUCUGCCUGCUACUGGCCGGUGCCUGGGGCAGGCGAGCUCUUGUCCUGCCUGUCUAGGCACCUCUGUCCCCACCUCCACGGCAGAGCACUGUGCCCUGCCCUCGACCCCCGGGCCCAGCGAACUCCGGCUGCUCUGAGGUUCCACAGCAGGGCCAGCUCCUCCAGGUGUUUUGGGAAGUCACUGCUUCUGUCCCCACGUGCUUCCUAGCAGACUGAGGACCCCGAGGGCGGAG